CCUGCGGAGGGAUCAUUACACAAAUAUGAAGGCGGGCUGGAACCUCUCGGGGUUACAGCCUUGCUGAAUUAUUCACCCUUGUCUUUUGCGUACUUCUUGUUUCCUUGGUGGGUUCGCCCACCACUAGGACAAACAUAAACCUUUUGUAAUUGCAAUCAGCGUCAGUAACAAAUUAAUAAUUACAACUUUCAACAACGGAUCUCUUGGUUCUGGCAUCGAUGAAGAACGCAGCGAAAUGCGAUAAGUAGUGUGAAUUGCAGAAUUCAGUGAAUCAUCGAAUCUUUGAACGCACAUUGCGCCCUUUGGUAUUCCAAAGGGCAUGCCUGUUCGAGCGUCAUUUGUACCCUCAAGCUUUGCUUGGUGUUGGGCGUCUUGUCUCUAGCUUUGCUGGAGACUCGCCUUAAAGUAAUUGGCAGCCGGCCUACUGGUUUCGGAGCGCAGCACAAGUCGCACUCUCUAUCAGCAAAGGUCUAGCAUCCAUUAAGCCUUUUUUUCAACUUUUGACCUCGGAUCAGGUAGGGAUACCCGCUGAACUUAAGCAUA
rnacentral:rRNA from 1 species